GCUGUUUCACACAUUUCUACCAAAUCGUCCCGUUUAUUUUUCUUUGGUGAGCUAACUGUAUGGUGAAUUGAAAGGCCAUAAAGCUAGUUCAGCAAGGCAAGAUAUUCGAGACAUAGCUUCAUGAAAUGUGACUGAAAUU